rnacentral:rRNA from 1 species
AGAGCGAACGCUGGCGGCAGGCCUAACACAUGCAAGUCGAGCGCCCGUAGCAAUACGGGAGCGGCAGACGGGAUAGUAACACGUGGGAACGCGCCCUUCGGUUCGGAAUAACUCAGGGAAACUUGAGCUAAUACCGAAUACGCCCUUACGGGGAAAGAUUUAUUGCCGAAGGAACGGCCCGCGUCCGAUUAGCUAGUUGGUGAGGUAAUGGCUCACCAAGGCUACGAUCGGUAGCUGGUCUGAGAGGAUGACCAGCAUCACUGGGACUGAGACACGGCCCAGACUCCUACGGGAGGCAGCAGUGGGGAAUAUUGGACAAUGGGCGAAAGCCUGGAUCCAGCCAUGCCGCGUGGAUGAUGAAGGCCUUAGGGUUGUAAAGUCCUUUUAACGGGGAGAUAAUGACGGUACCGUAGAAUAAGCCCGGCUAACUUCGUGCCAGCAGCCGC